GGGGUCGUAGUUAAGAUGGUAAUAACGCCGGCCUGUCACGCCGGAGGCCGCGGGUUCAAGUCCCGUCGACCCCGCCA
rnacentral:tRNA from 2 species